ACACAUGCAGUCGNACGAUGGAUAGCCCAGGCUUGCUGGGUGGAUUAGUGGCGAACGGGUGAGUAACACGUGAGUAACCUGCCCCUGACUCUGGGAUAAGCGUUGGAAACGACGUCUAAUACUGGAUAUGAUCACUGGCCGCAUGGUCUGGUGGUGGAAAGAUUUUUUGGUUGGGGAUGGACUCGCGGCCUAUCAGCUUGUUGGUGAGGUAAUGGCUCACCAAGGCGACGACGGGUAGCCGGCCUGAGAGGGUGACCGGCCACACUGGGACUGAGACACGGCCCAGACUCCUACGGGAGGCAGCAGUGGGGAAUAUUGCACAAUGGGCGAAAGCCUGAUGCAGCAACGCCGCGUGAGGGAUGACGGCCUUCGGGUUGUAAACCUCUUUUAGUAGGGAAGAAGCGAAAGUGACGGUACCUGCAGAAAAAGCACCGGCUAACUACGUGCCAGCAGCCGCGGUAAUACGUAGGGUGCAAGCGUUGUCCGGAAUUAUUGGGCGUAAAGAGCUCGUAGGCGGUUUGUCGCGUCUGCUGUGAAAUCCCGAGGCUCAACCUCGGGCUUGCAGUGGGUACGGGCAGACUAGAGUGCGGUAGGGGAGAUUGGAAUUCCUGGUGUAGCGGUGGAAUGCGCAGAUAUCAGGAGGAACACCGAUGGCGAAGGCAGAUCUCUGGGCCGUAACUGACGCUGAGGAGCGAAAGCAUGGGGAGCGAACAGGAUUAGAUACCCUGGUAGUCCAUGCCGUAAACGUUGGGCGCUAGAUGUAGGGACCUUUCCACGGUUUCUGUGUCGUA
rnacentral:rRNA from 1 species